GACGUAGGGCGCGAGCGUUGUCCGGAUUUAUUGGGCGUAAAGAGCUCGUAGGCGGCUUGUCGCGUCGGCUGUGAAAACCCGCGGCUCAACUGUGGGCGGGCAGCUGAUACGGGCAGGCUGGAGUUCGGUAGGGGAGACUGGAAUUCCUGGUGUAGCGGUGAAAUGCGCAGAUAUCAGGAGGAACACCGGUGGCGAAGGCGGGUCUCUGGGCCACUACUGACGCUGAGGAGCGAAAGCGUGGGGAGCGAACAGG
rnacentral:rRNA from 1 species